CUGACCUUCCUCCUGCCAGCACUGGCCCAGCCUCAGCCUCUUAUCAUCAACCUUUGCUUCUCGCUCCCUCUGGAGCUACUCCAAGCUAGAAAGAACAGCCAGACGGGGACUCGAGGAGCGCAAAGAUUUAUUGCAGUAGCUGCUGCUCUGAUUCGGAGCCCGGGGAGGGAACGCUGGCCGGUUCUCUCUUCCCCACCCCAGGCCUGAGGAGAGGGAGUUGGGCCAGCCGAGCGCAAGGGAGGCACCGUCAUGAGCGGAGACAGAGGGCGGCAGGGAGAUUUCGUAAGGAGGCCGCGGCCUUCGUGGUGUCAGUUGUAGGUUUGCUGGAGGAAAAACAAAGCCAAGACAACCGUGGGUUUUGUGCGCAGGCAGGCAGGCAGCUCUUUCGGGGCCGUCCAGGAGCCCCCUUCCCCUCCGGUUGUCCGGUCAGCCAGCCAGCAAGUGCCAAGGCCCAGCCAAGGCUCCCUCCUCCUCCCUACGGACCCUGGAGCGACUUCCGCUUCAGGAGUCUUGGCCCGCUUUGGCUUCGUUUGAGGUCCCACACAUGCAUCCAAAGAGCCCAUUGAAAACCUGGAUGAGGCAGAGGCCCAGCUCCAAUAGCCCGGAGCCCAGGAUGAGGGAGAAGAGGAUCACAUUGAACCUGGUGACGCCAGGAGGGUCCAGGCAGAUGUCCCACAGGUUUGAGUCAAAGAGAUGCCAACGUCUGCCCAAAGCCCAUGGAGCAUCCUGCCACAGCAAGUUCUCAAGCUGCAGUAGAAGAGGACAUCUUGUCCACCACCUCCAGCCCACGUGAGAUACAAGCAGGGAGCAAAGGAACAAGAGCUGCAAGGGGCUCAAGCAAGCCAGCCAAGCUGCAUCUGGAAGUGAGAGAUGGGGGGAAAACCCAUCAGGGUCACCAGACGACCACCAAACGAAGGAGAUUCUUUUGUGGCCACAAACAAAGUCAUUAGCCAGCCUCUUCCUGAGCAGCUGAGCCAGGGCAAUUACUAGGUCCAAUUCCAUUCCCCAGCCCAAUGGCCCCAAAUUGCCAGUUCACUAUUUGUCUUACAGCUCUCCACACCACAACAAAAAGGCCCCAAAUUGCACCCCAAUUCUGUACCCCUCCCAAGUUGCUU